rnacentral:rRNA from 1 species
ACACGACUACAUUAGAUACCCGUGUAGUCCUAGCCGUAAACGAUACUCGCUAGGUGUCGGCCACGGUGCGACCGUUGUCGGUGCCGUAGGGAAGCCGUGAAGCGAGCCACCUGGGAAGUACGGCCGCAAGGCUGAAACUUAAAGGAAUUGGCGGGGGGGGCACCACAACGGGUGGAGCUUGCGGUUUAAUUGGAUUCAACGCCGGAAAUCUUACCGGGACCGACAGCAACAUGAAGGCCAGGCUGAAGACUUUGCCGGAUUAGCUG